UGGGGCGUCGCCAAGUGGUAAGGCAGCGGUUUUUGGUAUCGCCAUCCCAGGUUCGAAUCCUGGCGCCCCAGCCA
rnacentral:tRNA from 1 species